rnacentral:rRNA from 1 species
UACGUAGGGGGCAAGCGUUGUCCGGAUUUAUUGGGCGUAAAGAGCGUGUAGGCGGCCAGGUAGGUCUGCUGUGAAAACUCGAGGCUCAACCUCGAGACGUCGGCGGAAACCAUCUGGCUAGAGUCCGGAAGAGGAGAGUGGAAUUCCACGUGUAGCGGUGAAAUGCGUAGAGAUGUGGAGGAACACCAGUGGCGAAGGCGACUCUCUGGUCUGUAACUGACGCUGAGGCGCGAAAGCGUGGGGAGCAAACAGG